rnacentral:lncRNA from 1 species
AAUUCAUAUUAUUAUUGUGUUGGUUUGGAUGUGUAGGGAUUCUUACUGGGCUGUAAAGCUCACCCCCCCUCUUCUUCUUUUUCUUUACCAGAGUUGCAGGAUGCAUAGAUGUGGAUGGGAUGGGCGUAGAGUGCGAGUACCAGAGUUAUUAGUUAGUUAGUUUGUUUAUCCUUCUUUGAUGUCGAUGAACAUUUGAAGAUCUUGUAAUUGAACUAAUUUGUUUAUUUGGAUAUGUCGGACUUGUCUAUUUGAAUUAUUAAAUUAAUCAUGGAUUUAUUGGAAUUUUGUUAAACAUAGGCCUUGCAUGAUCUUUAGGGCACUGCUCUAGGGCUCAUGCGGCUGGUCGCGUACCGGACCAGGGUGUUGGGUUCGGGG